AAGGGCGAGCUCGGGGAGCAGGAGCAGGGCGCAGGGGGGGUGCUCCACGGAGGGGAAGCAGGAGCUCGGCAGGGAGGAAGAAAGUCGAGCAGAGGAGGGAGAUGGGCGCCGAGCUGGAGGAGGAAGCCACGGUCCGAACGCCGGCGAGCUCGAAGCCGGCUAUGGACGAGCUCGGGCAAAGGGGCCAGGGGCACGGUGCAGAAAGGAGCGCGCGGCAGGGAGAGGGCAAAGGGAGCAAAGGCGCUCGCCAGGGAGCUUCGCGAGAGAGAGAGAUGGGCGCGGUGUGCAGGGGAAGAAGAAGCCCGGCUGCUGGAGAUAACGACGACUGGGGCGGCGGAAAAAAAU
rnacentral:misc_RNA from 1 species